rnacentral:rRNA from 1 species
CGCUGGCGGCGUGCCUAACACAUGCAAGUCAACUUGACUGAAGGAGCAAUCUGACAGUAGAGUGGCGCAAGGGUGCGUAACGCGUAAGUAACUUGCCCCAAGGUAAGGAAUAACGUCGAGAAAUCGGCGCUAAUACCUCAUAAUGCAGCGGAUCCGCAUGGAUAUGUUGUUAAAGGUUUACCGCCUUGGGAUUAGGCUUGCGUCUGAUUAGUUAGUUGGUGUGGUAACGGCACACCAAGGCUACGAUCAGUAACUGGUCUGAGAGGAUGAUCAGUCACACUGGAACUGAGACACGGUCCAGACUCCUACGGGAGGCAGCAGUGAGGAAUAUUGGGCAAUGCUCGAAAGAGUGACCCAGCAACGCCGCGUGGAGGAUGAAGGUAUUCUAUAUCGUAAACUCCUGUGAGAGCAGACGAAAGACAGAUUAUUAAUCUGGAUGACUGUAUGCUCAGAGGAAGCCCCGGCUAACUACGUG